GAGGGUAUAGCUCAGUGGCAGAGUGCAUGCCUAGCAUGCAUAAGAUCCUGGGUUCAAUACCCAGUAUCUUCA
rnacentral:tRNA from 1 species